UCUGCAGUCCCUUGUGUCCUCAUGACUACGACUAAUGCAACACCCACAGAAUGCUGGAGAAAUUCAGCAGGUCGGACAGCAUCGAAGGAAAGGAGUGAACAGUUGAUGCUUUGGGACCAGACACUUCUUCAAGACUGUGGAGGAAGGGUGAAGAUGUCAGAAUAAAAAAGAUGCUGCCUGACCUGCAGAGUUCCUCCAGCAUUUUGUGUCUAUUGCUUGGAUUUCCAGCAUCUGCAGACUUUCUCGUGUUUGUGAUUGGGAUGUCAGAGGUACUGUGGUGGUGGGGUAGUCCUGCAUAACAGAGGAGAGAGAAGAGUAGAGUAGAUUUAGAUCUGGAGCAGCUGAAUCACUUUACUUCAGAAUGGAGAGCCAUAAGCACAAAGAAUCUAUUAAGAAGCAGUGUAUCAUACACUGGAAAGCAUCAAAAGAAGAUGAUGACCAUUUAGUUAGUCCUCAAGACUAUGAAUCCUGGAAAACAUUACUUGAAGCAGCCAAAGUGAGAAACUAUGCCCCUAUUUUCGACAUUACUAAAGAACUUGGAGAAAAAGAAAUCCCAAGAAAUCACCAAAAAUGCAGAAGCCUCUACACCAUGAGGAGGGACUUAGAGAUUCUGAAAAGGAAAGCCAAGGAAAGCAUUACUAAUGAAGCUGGUGAGAAUACCUUACAUCAAAAAGGCCAAGGAGGAGAUCUUCAUCACAGCAGACCAGGCAGCAUCUACAGGAAGAGGUACAGUCGAUGUUUCGGGCUGAGACCCUUCGUAAGGACUAACUGAAAGAAGAGAUUUGAAAAUGGGAGGGACAGUGGGAGAUCCAGAAUGAUAGGAGAUGACAGGAGGGGGAAGGAUAGAGCUAAGAACUAGAAAGUUGAUUGGCAAAAGGGAUACAAGGCUGGAGAAGGGAGAGGAUCAUGGGAUGGGAGGCCUGGGGAGAAAGAAAGGAGGAGGGGUGUUCCAGAGGAAGAUGGAGAGCAGGCAAGGAGUAAUUGUGAGAGGGACCCACAAGUGCCAAGCCCUGUUGGCAGAGGAUGGAAGAUGGAGAGAGAAGAGGAAGCUGAACAGUUGGUGGUGCACUGGAUGGAAGGCCAGCCAGCACCCGAUGCCAUCCUGGAGCUACUGGCCUGUAACUGCCCAAAAAAAUAUUCACUCCCAAGAUGUAUGUGUGUUGCAAAUGGCCUCAGAUGUACUGACAUGUAUAGACUGGCAGACUGUGAGAACCAGGCAUCCACCUUAAAGAGUGUGGAAAGUUCAGAUGAAGAUGUGGAAGACUUGGAAAAUUAUUAUGAUUAUUAAUAGGUUAUGCAAGUAUGGAAAACAAAGUGUGGAAAGCAGUCUUUGAUUAAAUAUAUUCAUUUUACAACCAAAUGGGGCCUAAGUUGUGGCUGUGUGGAACCCCACAUUUGAAUUAUUGUACUGUAAUUCUAUAUGCUAUGGCAAAAGCUUAAGAUUGUUUUGAUUUGAUACAACAAUAUGGAAAAUAUCAUGACAUUGAUAAAACUCCAGAAAUCUCUCCAAAUGAGGUUUUUUAGCUUUUGAAGGGUGGGGUAACAUUUUCUGCUGUACUGAUGUUAAUAUGGAAUAUAUACAAAAAGUGAUUACUUAUUUGAAUUCCUGAAUAAAUUCUCU